UACGAGGGGGGCGAGCGUUGUUCGGAAUUAUUGGGCGUAAAGGGUGCGUAGGCGGUUUGGUAAGUCUGCUGUGAAAUCUAUGGGCUCAACUCAUAGUCUGCAUCGGAAACUGCCGGGCUUGAGUAUGGGAGAGGUGAGUGGAAUUCCUGGUGUAGCGGUGAAAUGCGUAGAUAUCGGGAAGAGCACCCGUGGCGAAGGCGGCUCGCUGGGACGGUACUGACGCUGAGACGCGAAAGCGUGGGGAGCGAACAGG
rnacentral:rRNA from 1 species